UCGAGGAGCACGUGUUAUUCUA
rnacentral:miRNA from 1 species